AACGCACGAGACCUGCGGACCUGCGGAGGGAUCAUUAGUGAACGCCCUCACGGGCUUACAACUAUUCCAAACCUCUGUGAACCGUGCCCUUCGGGGCUAUUUUACAAACAUGGUGUAAUGAACGUCAUAUAUCAUAACAAAACAAAACUUUCAACAAUGGAUCUCU
rnacentral:misc_RNA from 1 species